rnacentral:rRNA from 1 species
UACGUAGGGUGCAAGCGUUAAUCGGAAUUACUGGGCGUAAAGCGUGCGCAGGCGGUUGUGCAAGACCGAUGUGAAAUCCCCGGGCUUAACCUGGGAAUGGCAUUGGUGACUGCACGGCUAGAGUGUGUCAGAGGGGGGUAGAAUUCCACGUGUAGCAGUGAAAUGCGUAGAGAUGUGGAGGAAUACCGAUGGCGAAGGCAGCCCCCUGGGAUAACACUGACGCCCAUGCACGAAAGCGUGGGGAGCAAACAGG